ACGGAAACGGCAGCAGCAACUAGGAAACUUGAAAUACUGCAAAUAAUUGGCUGAAUACUCACAAGUAUUUAUUCUGAUUUCAUUAAGAAACAGGAUAGGAGGGGGGGGAAAGAGGUGAAUUGAAUCUUGCUUCCAGAUUACUCAUUAGAAAGAGGGUACAACUAGCACACAAGACAGCACCAGCCCAGGUUUCAUCGCAGUUUGGACUAAUGCAAAGCCACUUACACCCACUCUUCAAUAUUCAGUGCAUUAAGAGUGUGUGUAUGCAGAGAGAGAGAGAGAGCUCUGCGCUAAUUCAUUAACCUUUUCAAUGAGGGUAAUAUAAUGGACGGGCUAUGAACACUCAUUCCAGGAAUGUGUCAUCCAUGUUGCCUCUCCUAGUCUAAGCUGACCUCUGUUACAAUAAAGCAUAAUGUCAAAACUAUGGGCAAACAGAUCACGCCUGCUGGCAUUUGAUCAUAAAAUUGCGAACGGAAUCAUUUUUCUUGAGAAGACCAAGUAUGGAAAUGAGGAUAGUAAUCUCCUGAAGAGCAACAGCAGCUUCUUGGAUUGAAUGACAAAUAACUAUUCUCUAGGCAAAUGAACAUGUACAAAAUGGGUCCUGCAUGAGAUCAUGAUAACAAGUAGGAUUGUCAAACAUACACAAAUUCCUGUGGGAAAAGAGAGAAGAGGACCAGUUAAACAGCAGAAAAUUGCAGAUCUAAGAGGCAAAAAUUUACCAUUUAUUGCAAUCCUUAAAGAACACCUAAAUUCAACCAGUUUUACACCAAUGCAAUUACCAAGAGGCAUUCCCCUGGCCGAUCAAAAAACAAA